UGAGGAAUAUUGGUCAAUGGGCGCUAGCCUGAACCAGCCAAGUAGCGUGAAGGAUGAAGGCUCUAUGGGUCGUAAACUUCUUUUAUAUAAGAAUAAAGUGCAGUAUGUAUACUGUUUUGUAUGUAUUAUAUGAAUAAGGAUCGGCUAACUCCGUGCCAGCAGCCGCGGUAAUACGGAGGAUCCGAGCGUUAUCCGGAUUUAUUGGGUUUAAAGGGAGCGUAGGUGGACUGGUAAGUCAGUUGUGAAAGUUUGCGGCUCAACCGUAAAAUUGCAGUGGAUACUGUCAGUCUUGAGUACAGUAGAGGUGGGCGGAAUUCGUGGUGUAGCGGUGAAAUGCUUAGAUAUCACGAAGAACUCCGAUUGCGAAGGCAGCUCACUGGACUGCAACUGACACUGAUGCUCGAAAGUGUGGGUAUCAAACAGG
rnacentral:rRNA from 1 species